UUCACAGCUAUAUUUUGAGAACAAAACUGAAAAUUAGCCGACAGAAUCAUGAAAACAAGGAAAUGUUUACAUCAAUGCUUGAAUAUUUGUUUGAACGAAAGAAGUGUCUGAGAGGCUGCACGAAUUGAAAUUAUCACGUCAUUGUAUCACGUAUUGCUGAUUAGUCAUUUUCACAGAAAUAAACUAUGAAAAACAUGCACUAUUGAGCGUUUGCUCACUUCAAAGAGAAAUCCGAAUCCGGUGCGAACACUACCUAAAAAGUGAGAUGCUACAGAAGCCAAACCAGGGAGGAUGUUUUGGGGUAGGGUUGGAAAUACAAACAUUUCACUGUGGAUUCGGCGUAGUUUUAAUGAUACUGUUUUGGUAUUUAGUGUUUUUGCAAUAAAUAAUUGUGGACACAUUAUAAAGUAUUCGAAAUAUGCACAAAAAGCCAGAGAGCACAGUGCCCGCGCAACACUAGUUAUAGAUAAGAAUCCUUUAUCGAUUGAACAAACGAUGGAAUCAUAGUUAUUGUGUGUAGUGAUGGAGGAAUAAAAAUCCGAAGUAGGGAAAGGGAGGUAUUUAUUGAAAAAGGUUGGGAACCACCGGACUACAGUUUAGUAAAAUUGAUGACGCAGAAUAAUUUCCAACAGAUUUCCAACAAUUUACAAAUAUAACACCGCUGUACAGUUCGUGUAUACAGGUGGAAGUAGAUUUUUUCUAUAAAUAUUCAACAAUGAUAAAAAAAA